rnacentral:rRNA from 1 species
UACGUAGGGUGCGAGCGUUAAUCGGAAUUACUGGGCGUAAAGCGUGCGCAGGCGGUUUUGUAAGACAGAUGUGAAAUCCCCGGGCUCAACCUGGGAACUGCAUUUGUGACUGCAUGGCUAGAGUACGGUAGAGGGGGAUGGAAUUCCGCGUGUAGCAGUGAAAUGCGUAGAUAUGCGGAGGAACACCGAUGGCGAAGGCAAUCCCCUGGACCUGUACUGACGCUCAUGCACGAAAGCGUGGGGAGCAAACAGG